rnacentral:rRNA from 1 species
GACGAACGCUGGCGGCGUGCUUAACACAUGCAAGUCGAACGGAAAGGCCUGCUUUCCCUUGUGGAUUGCGGGUACUCGAGUGGCGAACGGGUGAGUAACACGUGAGUGAUCUGCCCCCAACUUGGGUAUAAGCCUGGGAAACUGGGUCUAAUUCCCGAUAGGACUGCAGGGUGGUGCCUGUGGUGGGAAACGAUUUUCUAGUGGGUGGGGAUGAGCUCGCGGCCUGUCAGCUUGUUGGUGGGGUAAUGGCCUACCAAGGCGGCGACGGGUAGCCGGCCUGGGAGGGUGGACGGCCACAUUGGGACUGAGAUACGGCCCAGACUCCUACGGGAGGCAGCAGUGGGGAAUAAUGGACAAUGGGCGGAAGCCUGAUGCAGCGACGCCGCGGGGGGGAUGACGGCCUUCGGGUUGUAAACUCCUUUCGACCGCGAGGAAGCCACCUGGUUGGAAGGGUGGUGACGGUAGUGGGAGAAGAAGCACCGGCUAACUACGUG